UGCGGCUGAUGUCUUCUUUCCUUUUUGUACCAUCUCCCAAUCCCCUAAACCUGCUCUCAAUGGCCAGCAAUCAACCUCCUCUCAGCCCCUUAUCUUAGCCAUCCGAUGGGCAUUGAGGUUGUGCCUCGCACGCUGCAAAAAAAAUGCAGCGUGCAUGCUGCGGUAAUCUCUUUUUUUUUUUUUUUUUUUUUUUUUUUUUUUUUAUAAAAA
rnacentral:lncRNA from 1 species